rnacentral:tRNA from 1 species
GCUCCCGUACCACAAUUGGCAGUGGGACUGAUUUGUAAUCAGUAAGUUGUGAGUUCGAGUCUCACCGGGAGCU